UUCCAGACUCCUACGGGAGGCAGCAGUGGGGAAUAUUGGGCAAUGGGCGCAAGCCUGACCCAGCAACGCCGCGUGAAGGAAGAAGGCUUUCGGGUUGUAAACUUCUUUUGACAGGGAAGAGCAGAAGACGGUACCUGUCGAAUAAGCCACGGCUAACUCCGUGCCAGCAGCCGCGGUAAUACGGAGGAUGCGAGCGUUAUCCGGAUUUAUUGGGUUUAAAGGGUGCGUAGGCGGAAUGCCAAGUCAGCGGUAAAAUCGCGGGGCUCAACCCCGCUCCGCCGUUGAAACUGGGUGCCUUGAGUGGGCGAGAAGUACGCGGAAUGCGUGGUGUAGCGGUGAAAUGCAUAGAUAUCACGCAGAACUCCGAUUGCGAAGGCAGCGUACCGGCGCCCGACUGACGCUGAGGCACGAAAGCGUGGGGAUCGAACAGGAUUAGAUACCCCUGUAA
rnacentral:rRNA from 1 species